rnacentral:lncRNA from 1 species
CAAUGACCAGGAUGUGGAGUAUGUCACAGUAAGCGAACAGUUUAAAGCAUCCAUGAAACCUUUCAAGAUUGUGAGAAUAAAGCGGAUAUGGAACCAAAAACUCUGGGACGCUUUUGAAAGGAAGAAGGAAAAGAUGAAAAAUAAAAACGAGAUGCUCCUGUUUCACGCCGCAUGCCGUGCCCAUGUGGAUUAUAUCUGUAAGAAUAAUUUCGAGUGGAUCCUACAUGGAAGUCGGGAGACCAGAUAUGGAAAAGGUUUGUGCUAGAGGAGAGAGGGCUGUGACUCCAGCCCUGUGUGUGGUUUUGUGGAGACGCCCUUGGCAUCACAUUGUAAACCUGCGCUUCUUGGCUCCAGCGGCCUUAUGAGAAAACAAGCUGAGUUACCUCGAUCCUGUGUGAGGGCAGCUCUG